UACGGAGGGUGCAAGCGUUGUUCGGAAUCACUGGGCGUAAAGGGCGUGUAGGCGGUCCGCUAAGUCUGAUGUGAAAGCCCGGGGCUCACCCCCGGAAGGGCAUUGGAAACUGGCGGACUCGAGUCUCGGAGAGGAAGGUGGAAUUCCUGGUGUAGCGGUGAAAUGCGUAGAUAUCAGGAGGAAUACCGGUGGCGAAGGCGGCCUUCUGGACGAUGACUGACGCUGAGACGCGAAAGCGUGGGGAGCAAACAGG
rnacentral:rRNA from 1 species